rnacentral:rRNA from 1 species
AUUGAACGCUGGCGGCAGGCUUAACACAUGCAAGUCGAACGAGUGGCGGACUGGUUAGUAAUGCUUGGGAAUCUGGCUUAUUGAGAGGGAUCACUACGGGAAACUGUAGCUAAUUCCGCGUACCAUAAGAUGAGCCCAAGUGGGAUUAGGUAGUUUGUGAGGUAAAGGCUCACCAAGCCGACGAUCUCUAGCUGGUCUGAGAGGAUGACAAGACACACUGGGACUGAGACACGGCCCAGACUCCUACGGGAGGCAGCAGUGGGGAAUAUUGCGCAAUGGGGGCAACCUGACGCAGCCAUGCCGCGUGAAUGAAGAAGGCCUUCGGGUUGUAAAGUUCUUUCGGUAGCGAGGCGUUAACUACAGAAGAAGCACCGGCUAACUCCGUGCCAGCAGCCGCGGUAAUUC